GUCUAGUUGACGAGUUCCAAAUGGGACGAAAUGUGCAUCCUGGAU
rnacentral:hammerhead_ribozyme from 1 species